rnacentral:rRNA from 1 species
AACAUGUACAGGAUAGGUAGGAGCCAGAGAAGAUAGGACGCCAGUUUUAUCAGAGGCAAUGUUGGGAUACUACCCUUGUUUGAUGGAUCCUCUAACUCGUCACACUAAGCGUGUGAGAGGACAGUGUCAGGUGGGCAGUUUGACUGGGGCGGUCGCCUCCUAAAGAGUAACGGAGGCGCCCAAAGGUUCCCUCAGAAUGGUUGGAAAUCAUUCGCAGAGUGUAAAGGUAGAAGGGAGCUUGACUGCGAGAGAGACAACUCGAGCAGGUACGAAAGUAGGGCUUAGUGAUCUGGUGGUACUGCAUGGAAAGGCCAUCACUCAACGGAUAAAAGCUACCCUGGGGAUAACAGGCUUAUCUCCCCCAAGAGUUCACAUCGACGGGGGUGUUUGGCACCUCGAU